GACGAACGCUGGCGGCGUGCCUAAUACAUGCAAGUAGAACGCUGAAGGAGGAGCUUGCUUCUCCGGAUGAGUUGCGAACGGGUGAGUAACGCGUAGGUAACCUGCCUGGUAGCGGGGGAUAACUAUUGGAAACGAUAGCUAAUACCGCAUAAGAGUAGAUGUUGCAUGACAUUUGCUUAAAAGGUGCAAUUGCAUCACUACCAGAUGGACCUGCGUUGUAUUAGCUAGUUGGUGGGGUAACGGCUCACCAAGGCGACGAUACAUAGCCGACCUGAGAGGGUGAUCGGCCACACUGGGACUGAGACACGGCCCAGACUCCUACGGGAGGCAGCAGUAGGGAAUCUUCGGCAAUGGACGGAAGUCUGACCGAGCAACGCCGCGUGAGUGAAGAAGGUUUUCGGAUCGUAAAGCUCUGUUGUAAGAGAAGAACGAGUGUGAGAGUGGAAAGUUCACACUGUGACGGUAUCUUACCAGAAAGGGACGGCUAACUACGUGCCAGCAGCCGCGGUAAUACGUAGGUCCCGAGCGUUGUCCGGAUUUAUUGGGCGUAAAGCGAGCGCAGGCGGUUAGAUAAGUCUGAAGUUAAAGGCUGUGGCUUAACCAUAGUACGCUUUGGAAACUGUUUAACUUGAGUGCAAGAGGGGAGAGUGGAAUUCCAUGUGUAGCGGUGAAAUGCGUAGAUAUAUGGAGGAACACCGGGUGGCGAAAGCGGCUCUCUGGCUUGUAACUGACGCUGAGGCUCGAAAGCGUGGGAGCAAACAGG
rnacentral:rRNA from 1 species